rnacentral:rRNA from 1 species
UACGGAGGAUCCGAGCAUUAUCCGGAUUUAUUGGGUUUAAAGGGUGCGCAGGCGGGAAAUUAAGUCGGCGGUGAAAUUUUGCGGCUCAACCGUAAAAGUGCCUUCGAUACUGGUUUUCUUGAGUGUAGCUGAAGUAGGCGGAAUUUGUGGUGUAGCGGUGGAAUGCAUAGAUAUCACGAGGAACUCCGAUUGCGCAGGCAGCUUACUAAACUACUACUGACGCUCAUGCACGAAGGCGUGGGGAUCAAACAGGAUUAGAUACCCGGGUAGUCCCU